GUAGCCGAUCUGAUAAGUUUACAAUAUAUGUGACUUCAUUUCCAAUUACAUAAAAGUAUAUGAAAUCCCCGAUAUCUAGGGAUAAUUUCUUUAUCCAUUUAACUAUAUAUGUACAUAUUUAUAUUUCUUUAUCUAAUUUAAGGGCAAAAGUAACAAAAGAUUUGUGGUAGUACUUCUAAUUUCUCCCCUGAUUUGGCCAGAAAUUGUUAGAAUUUGCAUAGAAGUCGGAUAAUCAUAACAAAUUAGAGAUGGCACUACAAAAAAAAGUGAGAAACCCCGAAACAAAAAAUCGUCGGAAAUAUGUCAAGAAUAAAUAUUCACGGUAAAAUUAUCAAAAAUUUGCCAAUAAUGAAUAUUUGUGAUUAAUUCCUGAAGAAUUA